GCAGGGGUGGCAGAGCUAGGUCAAAUGCGCUAGCUUGAGGGGCUAGUGCCGUAGAGGCUACAAGGGUUCAAAUCCCUUCCCCUGCAC
rnacentral:tRNA from 1 species